rnacentral:rRNA from 1 species
UCAGGACGAACGCUGGCGGCGUGCCUAACACAUGCAAGUCGAGCGAGGAGAUCCUUCGGGAUGAUCCUAGCGGCGGACGGGUGAGUAACACGUGGGCAACCUGCCUCAUAGAGAGGAAUAGCCUUCCGAAAGGGAGAUUAAUACCUCAUAACAUUGCAGUUUCGCAUGGAACAGCAAUUAAAGGAGUAAUCCGCUAUGAGAUGGGGCCCCGCGGCGCAUUAGCUAGUUGGUGAGGUAAUGGCUCACCCAAGGCGACGAUGCGUAGCCGACCUGAGAGGGUGAUCGGCCACAUUGGGACUGAGACACGGCCCAGACUCCUACGGGAGGCAGCAGUGGGGAAUAUUGCACAAUGGGGGAAACCCUGAUGCCAGCAACGCCGCGUGAGUGAUGACGGCCUUCGGGUUGUAAAGCUCUGUCUUCAGGGACGAUAAUGACGGUACCUGAGGAGGAAGCCACGGCUAACUACGUGCCAGCCGCCGC